AGAUUUGGGUGGGGACACAGAGCCAAACCAUAUCACCGAGCACAGGCAGAACUGAAGUUUUUAAAAACCAAAUUGAGUGACAACUAAAGAUGGCUGCGUCCAUGUAACAUCACUAGCAACCAGUGACCUCUUUUUCCUCCUUGCCUGGCUCCUAUGGUGGCAGGCUGGGCACAAGGACCAUGCUGGGCUGGACCCUUCGAGAAGUUUCUGUGGCACUGAAACAAGGCCAAAUUACAACCACAGAGCUCUGUCAAAAAUGUCUUCCUCUUAUCAAGAAGACCAAGUUUCUAAAUGCCUACAUUACUGUAUCAGAAGAGUUGGUCUUAAAACAAGCUGAAAAAUCAGAAAAGAGAUAUAAGAAUGGACAGUCACCUGGUGAUUUAGAUGGAAUUCCUAAUGCAGUAAAAGACAACUUUAACACGUCUGGCAUUGAGACAACAUGUGCAUCAAAUAUGCUGAAGGGUUAUGUACCCCCUUAUAAUGCUGCAGUAGUUCGGAAGUUGUUGGAUCAGGGAGCUCUACUAAUGGGAAAAACAAAUUUAGAUGACUUUGCUAUGGGACCUGGAAGCACAGAUGGUGUAUUUGGACCAGUUAAAAACCCCUGGAGUUAUUCAAAACAAUAUAGAUAAAAGAGGAAGCAGAAUCUCCACAGCAAGAAUGAAGAUUCAGACUGGCUGAUAACUGGAGGAAGCUCAGGUGGGAGUGCAGCUGCUGUGUCAGUGCUCACAUGCUAUGCGGCUUUAGGAUCAGAUACAGGAGAAUCGACCAGAAACUCUGCUGCCCACUGUGGGCUUGUUGGUUUCAAACCUCCUUAAAGGAGACGUAUACCUCAAUGCACUGGGAUGUGCAGGGAUUGGAAGCAGCAUAAUGUUAGUGCCACUGUGUACCAGUCUACCCUGGACUCUGACAUGCCAGCAGAAAUGUGUACUUUCUACCAGAACCAAGGCACCAAGCAAACGUUGUCAAAAAUUCGCAGAGAACCAAAAAGCAUGCUGUGGACAGAUGUGCUACCUGCUAUGCUGACAGACCCUUUAAAAACAUUCCACCUGCAGUCCCCACAAGUAAUAGUCAGACCAUAC